CCGGAGCUCUGGGGACUUCUGGGGGGUGAGCCACGUGGCAGCUCCUUAGGGCUCCUUCUUAGCGAGUCUCCCAGCAGAUCUGCCAGAGCAGCAGGUCGGCAGCAGGAGCCCAGGUCCAGCGUUGCAGGGGUGGGGAAAACCAUUUCCUGGCUGGAGAAGGCUGCUGCUGGGCUGGGUGGGCAAGUCCUGACACAUUAGCGAUCAGCCAACUGU
rnacentral:lncRNA from 1 species